rnacentral:rRNA from 1 species
GCCUGUUUUAUACCGCGUUGAAAACACCAGUUCUCGUCCGAUCACCGAAGUUAAGCAACGUCGGGCGCGGUCAGUACUUGGAUGUGUGACCGCUUAGAAAAUACCGUGUAACGUUGGCU